rnacentral:rRNA from 1 species
GCUUAAAGAGGGGUUAAUGUCCUAUCAGCUAGUUGGUGGGGUAAUGGCCUACCAAGGCAAAGACGGGUAGCCGGCUUGAGAGGGUGGUCGGCCACACUGGGACUGAGACACUGCCCAGACUCCUACGGGAGGCUGCAGUCGAGAAUCUUUCGCAAUGCCCGAAAGGGUGACGAAGCGACGCCGCGUGUGGGAAGAAGGCCUUCGGGUUGUAAACCACUGUCGGGAGUUAGGAAAUGCAAGAGCGUUAAUAGCGCACUUGCUUGACUAAGGCUCCAGAGGAAGCCACGGCUAACUCUGUGCCAGCAGCCGCGGUAAUACAGAGGCGGCAAGCGUUGUUCGGAAUUAUUGGGCGUAAAGAGCACGUAGGCGGCCUUGCAAGUCAGUUGUGGAAGCCUUCCGCUUAACGGAAGAACGGCAUCUGAUACUACAGGGCUUGAGUACGGGAGGG